rnacentral:misc_RNA from 1 species
AUUAUGAACAUCAUUUAUACAGUGAAUUUCGGUUGAUGUGAUUACUUGGCCCUCCAUUAAGUUUAAAACAUGGAACAGAAGGUCAAACUUAUUCUGAAUCAUACUAUCUCAAACGAUGAAGAAUCAAGCCUACAGAUUUUACCACAGCAUCUCCCCCAUCUAUCCUGCAGUGACACCAUAUAUAUCUUUCAUUGCUUUCUAUGG